AGAGUUUGAUCCUGGCUCAGAACGAACGCUGGCGGCGUGCUUAACACAUGCAAGUCGAACGGGAUCCUAGGCUUCGGUUUAGGUGAGAGUGGCGCACGGGUGAGUAACGCGUGGGAACCUGCCCAGAGGUACGGAAUAACGUCGGGAAACUGGCGCUAAUACCGUAUGAGCCCUUCGGGGGAAAGAUUUAUCGCCUUUGGAUGGUCCCGCGUCCGAUUAGCUUGUUGGUGAGGUAAUGGCUCACCAAGGCUUCGAUCGGUAGCUGGUCUAAGAGGAUGAUCAGCCACACUGGGACUGAGACACGGCCCAGACUCCUACGGGAGGCAGCAGUGGGGAAUAUUGGACAAUGGGCGAAAGCCUGAUCCAGCAACGCCGCGUGGAUGAAGAAGGCCUUCGGGUUGUAAAGUCCUUUCGACGGGGACGAUGAUGACGGUACCCGUAGAAGAAGCCCCGGCUAACUUCGUGCCAGCAGCCGCGGUAAUACGAAGGGGGCUAGCGUUGUUCGGAAUUACUGGGCGUAAAGGGCGUGUAGGCGGACCAACCAGUCAGGGGUGAAAUCCCGGGGCUCAACCUCGGAACUGCCUUUGAUACUGUUGGUCUUGAGGACAGGAGAGGGUCGUGAAUUCCCAGUGUAGAGGUGAAAUUCGUAGAUAUUGGGAAGAACACCGGUGGCGAAGGCGGCGACCUGUCUGUAUCUGACGCUGAGGCGCGAAAGCGUGGGGAGCAAACAGGAUUAGAUACCCUGUAGUCUUAGCUGUAAACGAUGGAUACUAGGCGUAGCUUGUAUCGACCCGAGCUGUGCCGAAGCAAACGCGUUAAGUAUCCCGCCUGGGGAGUACGCACGCAAGUGUGAAACUCAAAGGAAUUGACGGGGGCCCGCACAAGCGGUGGAGUAUGUGGUUUAAUUCGAUGCAACGCGAAGAACCUUACCAGGACUUGACAUGUCGCUCAUUCCGGGGAAACUCGGAAGUGCCUUCGGGAGCGCGAACACAGGUGGUGCAUGGCUGUCGUCAGCUCGUGUCGUGAGAUGUUGGGUUAAGUCCCGCAACGAGCGCAACCCUCGUCCUUAGUUGCCAGCAUUAAGUUGGGCACUCUAGGGAGACUGCCGGUGACAAACCGGAGGAAGGUGGGGAUGACGUCAAGUCAGCAUGCCCCUUACGUUCUGGGCUACACACGUACUACAAUGGUUGAGACAAAGGGCAGCGAGCGAGCGAGCGUAAGCGAAUCUCAUCAAACUCAGCCUCAGUUCAGAUUGCAGGCUGCAACUCGCCUGCAUGAAGGAGGAAUCGCUAGUAAUCGCAGGUCAGAAUACUGCGGUGAAUCCGUUCCCGGGCCUUGUACACACCGCCCGUCACACCAUGGAAGCUGGCCACGCCCGAAGUCGUUACCCUAACCCUUUUUGGGAGGGGGAUGCCGAAGGCAGGGCUAGUGACUGGGGUGAAGUCGUAACAAGGUAGCCGUACCGGAAGGUGUGGCUGGAUCACCUCCUUA
rnacentral:rRNA from 1 species